CACAUGUAUGCAUUACAUGCACGUGACCAAUAGGGCCUGACCUAUAUCAAAUCAAUCAAAUGUAUUUAUAAACCCCUUUUUACAUCAGCUGAUGUCACAAAGUGCAAUACAGAAACCCAGCCUAAAACCCCAAACAGCAAGCAAUGCAGAAUUUUUAUUUGAUUUGUCACGUGUCUAAUAUAACAAGCGUAGACUUUACAGUGAAAUGCUUAGUUACAAGCCUUUAACCAACAAUGCAGUUAAGGAAAAUAAGUAAAAAAAUUAUUAUAGAGCAGCAGUAAAAUAACAGUAGCGAGGCUUUAUACAGGGGGUACCGGUACAGAGUCAAUGUGAGGAGGCUAUAUAAAGGGGGUACCGGUACAGAGUCAAUGUGAGGAGGCUAUAUAAAGGGGGUACCGGUACAGAGUCAAUGUGAGGAGGCUUUAUACAGGGGGUACCGGUACAGAGUCAAUGUGAGGAGGCUAUAUACAGGGGGUACCGGUACAGAGUCAAUGUGAGGAGGCUAUAUACAGGGGGUACCGGUACAGAGUCAAUGUGGAGGCUAUAUACAGGGGGUACCGGUAGAGUCAAUGUGAGGAGGCUAUAUACAGGGGGUACCGGUAGAGUCAAUGUGAGGAGGCUAUAUACAGGGGGUACCGGUAGAGUCAAUGUGAGGAGGCUAUAUACAGGGGGUACCGGUGCAGAGUCAAUAUGAGGAGGCUAUAUACUGGGGGUACCGGUACAGAGUCAAUGUGAGGAGGCUAUAUACAGGGGGUACCGGUAGAGUCAAUGUGAGGAGGCUAUAUACAGGGGGUACCGGUAGAGUCAAUGUGAGGAGGCUAUAUACAGGGGGUACCGGUAGAGUCAAUGUGAGGAGGCUAUAUACAGGGGGUACCGGUAGAGUCAAUGUGAGGAGGCUAUAUACAGGGGGUACCGGUACAGAGUCAAUGUGAGGAGGCUAUAUACAGGGGGUACCGGUACAGAGUCAAUGUGAGGAGGCUAUAUACAGGGGGUACCGGUACAGAGUCAAUGUGGAGGCUAUAUACAGGGGGUACCGGUAGAGUCAAUGUGAGGAGGCUAUAUACAGGGGGUACCGGUAGAGUCAAUGUGAGGAGGCUAUAUACAGGGGGUACCGGUAGAGUCAAUGUGAGGAGGCUAUAUACAGGGGGUACCGGUAGAGUCAAUGUGAGGAGGCUAUAUACAGGGGGUACCGGUACAGAGUCAAUGUGAGGAGGCUAUAUACAGGGGGUACCGGUACAGAGUCAAUGUGAGGAGGCUAUAUACAGGGGGUACCGGUACAGAGUCAAUGUGAGGAGGCUAUAUACUGGGGGUACCGGUACAGAGUCAACGUGAGGAGGCUAUAUACUGGGGGUACCGGUACAGAGUCAACGUGAGGAGGCUAUAUACUGGGGGUACCGGUACAGAGUCAACGUGAGGAGGCUAUAUACAGGGGGUACCGGUACAGAGUCAACGUGAGGAGGCUAUAUACAGGGGGUACCGGUACAGAGUCAAUGUGAGGAGGCUAUAUACAGGGGGUACCGGUACAGAGUCAAUGUGAGGAGGCUAUAUACAGGGGGUACCGGUACAGAGUCAAUGUGAGGAGGCUAUAUACAGGGGGUACCAGUACAGAGUCAAUGUGAGGAGGCUAUAUACAGGGGGUACCGGUACAGAGUCAAUGUGAGGAGGCUAUAUACAGGGGGUGCCGGUACAGAGUCAAUGUGAGGAGGCUAUAUACAGGGGGUACCGGUACAGAGUCAAUGUGAGGAGGCUAUAUACAGGGGGUACCGGUAGAGUCAAUAUGAGGAGGCUAUAUACUGGGGGUACCGGUAGAGUCAAAAUGAGGAGGCUAUAUACUGGGGGUACCGGUACAGAGUCAAUAUGAGGAGGCUAUAUACUGGGGGUACCGGUACAGAGUCAAUGUGAGGAGGCUAUAUACAGGGGGUACCGGUACAGAGUCAAUGUGAGGAGGCUAUAUACAGGGGUACCGGUACAGAGUCAAUGUGAGGAGGCUAUAUACAGGGGGUACCGGUACAGAGUCAAUAUGAGGAGGCUAUAUACUGGGGGUACCGGUAGAGUCAAAAUGAGGAGGCUAUAUACUGGGGGUACCGGUACAGAGUCAAUAUGAGGAGGCUAUAUACUGGGGGUACCGGUACAGAGUCAAUGUGAGGAGGCUAUAUACAGGGGGUACCGGUACAGAGUCAAUGUGAGGAGGCUAUAUACAGGGGUACCGGUACAGAGUCAAUGUGAGGAGGCUAUAUACAGGGGGUACCGGUACAGAGUCAAUGUGCGGGAGCACCGGUUAGUCCAGGUAAUAUGUAGGUAGAGUGACUAUGCAUAGAUAAUAAACAGAGUAGCAGCAGCGUAAAAGAGGGGGUGGGGCGAACAAUUAAAAUAGUCUGGGUAGCCAUUUGAUUAGCUGUUCAGGAGUCUUAUGGGUUGGGGGUGGAAACUUUUAAGAAGCCUUUUGUACCGAGACUUGGUGCUCCGGUACCGCUUUUUUUUUUACCUUUGUUUUACUAGGCAAGUCAGUUAAGAACACAUUCUUAUUUUCAAUGACAGCCUAGGAACAGUGGGUUAACUGCCUGUUCAGGGGCAGAACGACAGAUUUGUACCUUGUCAGCUCGGGGAUUCGAACUUGCAACCUUUCGGUUACUAGUCCAACGCUCUAACCACUAGGCUACCCUUGCCGUGAUGUAACAGAGAGGACAGUCUAUGACUAGGGAGGCUGGAGUCUGACAAUUUUUAGGGUCUUCCUCUGACACCGCCUGGUAUAGAGGUCCUAUCAUAAUCACAAAUUCCGAACACACAACAGUCAAAUGGAUGCAGAGGACGUCACAAAUAAACUCUAAUGGGGUGAAAAUGUUUACUGGUUGCUCAGGAGGAAAAAGGGGAAGUCAGAAGUGUGGAAUAAAUUUGACUAGUUGUGGAAAAUACUGGAGAUCAAAAAGGUAAAGGUAAGAGCUGUGGGUAUAUUAUGUGUGCAAAACGGGUGCUGUUAGAUUACAAUAUAAUCUUUGACCGUUUGGAACAAUGUAAACACUAAAAUUAUAAGCGUAACAGUCAGUGGUAACACUUUUUUUGUAAAGCCAUUAUUACAGCAAAGACAUAAAAAAGUCACAUUCUUUCGUGAACUCAAUUUCCAAAAUGGAGCAGCUUAUUUAUUGUUUAUGCAAAUUAUUCAAGGGUCGCUUUGUCAUUCUAUUUUAAAACUAUAAUGCUUGAUUGAUGCGUAGCCUAGUGGUUAGAGCGUUGGACUAGUAACCGGAAGGUUGUGAGUUCAAACCCCCGAGCUGACAAGGUCGUUCUGCCCCUGAACAGGCAGUUAACCCACUGUUCCUAGGCCGUCAUUGAAAAUAAGAAUAUGUUCUUAACUGACUUGCCUGGUUAAAUAAAAGGUUAAAUAAAUAAAAAAUGACUCGUAUGCGGUGUGAUGACAUGAAGGGAUACAGUGCCAUUGGAAAGAAUUCAGACCCCUUGACUUUAUCACAUUACAGCCUUACCCUAAAAUAUACCCCCCCCAUCAAUCUAUACACAAUACCCCCAAAAUGACAGUGAAAACUUGUUUUUUGCUUUGUCAUUAUGGGGUGUGAAGAUGAAUUAAAUUGAUGGGAAAAUAUUUUUUAGAUUGCUUAUUCUCCUGUCAGCCUUCUGUAAUGUAACAAAAUGUGGAAAAAGUCAAGGGGUCUGAAUACUUAUUUGGAACAGCGUGAACACUAAAUAAAUUAGAAGUAAUACCAGAGAGGCUGUUCUAAUGAAAAAAGUGUAACGCCUUCAUUACAGCAUAGCAAAUAUGAAAAACAGACUAAUUUGUGAAAUUGUUUAUCCAACAUGUGGGGUAGGGGGUAGUUAGGCUAUUAGGGGGUAGUUAGGCUAUUGAUUAUAGACCUAAUUAAGUUGGGGAUCCCUCCUCACUUUUCUUUAAAAAUUAAGGCAAGGGCUGUUGUAACGUCUCCCACCUCUGCUGCUGCCACCACCACAUUGUUCUCAACACCAAUAUGCUGGAUAACUUUGCUGUUGUGCAGCAACAUGGUCUAGGAAAAGGCAGCAGUUUAGUUUAGGAGUGCACUGAUGAGUUUCAGAACCGUGGACAGCGACCGCUAUCCAACGAUCAACCAAUCGACUAAAUAAUACAGUAUUAGUAAAAAUGUGAUCAACGCAUGUGGGUGAUCUUGUUCCUGUAGUGUAUGUAAACACCCUGGUAGAUUGAUUAAUAACCUGAACCAGAUUACAGUGAGAAGCUUUCUCUGGAGCUGACAGCUUGAUGAAAACCAGUCAUUCCAUACAAAUCAAUU